rfam:Sphaerobolus stellatus SS14 unplaced genomic scaffold SPHSTscaffold_15, whole genome shotgun sequence.
GCUUCCUUGGCUCAGUUGGUAGAGCGUUGGUCUCAUAUUCGUGUAUGAGGGUGUCAUUAUAUCCAUAAUCCAAAGGUCGAGAGUUCGAGCCUCUCAGGGAGCA